AAGUCGUAACAAGGUUUCCGUAGGUGAACCUGCGGAAGGAUCAUUACCGAGUGAGGGCCCUCUGGGUCCAACCUCCCACCCGUGUCUAUCGUACCUUGUUGCUUCGGCGGGCCCGCCUCACGGCCGCCGGGGGGCUUCUGCCCUCUGGCCCGCGCCCGCCGAAGACACCAUUGAACGCUGUCUGAAGAUUGCAGUCUGAGCAAUUAGCUAAAUAAGUUAAAACUUUCAACAACGGAUCUCUUGGUUCCG
rnacentral:misc_RNA from 1 species